GUCUAUAGCCAUACCACCCUGAACAAGCGCGAUCUCGUCUGAUCUCGGAAGCUAAGCAGGGUCGGGCCUGGUUAGUACUUGAAUGGGAGACCACCUAGGAAGACCAGGUGCUGUAGGCG
rnacentral:rRNA from 1 species